rnacentral:lncRNA from 1 species
AAACAUGUAUGUUUUGUUUAGCAUACCUUUGAUCGUUAAUGAGGUUGAACGUAUUUUCACCUAUUUAUGUAUCGUUUAAGUUUUCCCUUUCAGAUACUUCUUGUUCAGAUUCUCGGAAUUCAUUUAUAAAUUAGUCUCUUGAAGAAUUCCAGCCCAUUUCACAGUAAAGCUGAUGUUAAGACCGAAAUUUUAUUUUUCAUGCAGAGUUCACUCUUGGAGAGUUGCAGUAAAGGCAGUCACACUUGGAGUACCUCAGUGACGGCAGAAAGGUUUAUGUUUUCCUCUUGGUGACAACAUAAAUCUCUGUGAGAUUGCUGUAAAGGGCUUGCACUGGGGUGAACUGCUCCCACUGUCCUGCCAUUGGUACACCACUGGAAACAUCACUGAAGAAGCACUGUGGUGGAGGUGGAGGAUGACACGAAGGCAGUGAGACAGAAGCCAGGAUUACACUUAUUUCCUGCAUAUAAACCCCCAAUUAUAGUCAGUCAUGGAGAAGGAUUUGAGACUGAUCUCCCAUCUCUUCAGCUGCAGCACCUGAUUAAAGCCUUCUUCCCUAAAAAUACUUGUUGGCUCAGUGAUUGGCUUUCUGUGUGAUGAACAGCAGGACCUAGACAGGACCCUUCGUGUUUUGAUCUCAGCACCCGUAUAUAAGAACAGCGUCAAUUUUGCUUGGCUUUGGAGGAGAAUUUGGAUGAAAAUGCAGAAGGACAUGUCUCUUCCCAAUUAUAAGAUAGCAAAGCCUUCAUACUCACUUGACUCUGGGAAGGAUUGUGUCACAGAGUAAAAGAAGAAAUUGCUUAUAGACUACAAAGGCUAACAUGGAGAUAGAAGAACCACAUGGAGCUUGGAAAAUGGGAAUCUCAGUAAUAACAUAAUGGCUGUGAGUCUGCAGGGGUGUCCUCCAGUGCUUUUGUUCUUGUUAAAUCCCCAAGGACCUUUGAAGGAUAGUGGGGAGGGGAAUCCUCCAAAUACCUAAGAUUAAAUUUCCUACUGGCUUGGUAGGAUGGAACUUGUAAAUGAAAUUAAAUUUAUUUAUAUUAUUAUUGUUGUUAUAAUUAUUAUUAUAAUUUAUUUUUGACAUUAGGCACCAAACAAGACCAAUCAUAAUUUUUGGCUCAUAACAUACUUGCCAUCAUUGCUUACUCCUGGCCUUCAUUUAUUUUAUUUCUUUAAUUUUAUAUAUUCAUUGACAAUAUGAUGAAGUUAUAUGAAUUCACUGCCUGAAUCAAGAACUAGAAAGUUAUUAAUAACAAAUAUACACAUAUAUGUUCCUCCCUACUCCAUUUUUAAAAACCUGCCUUUGGAGUAGCUAUUAUUUGAAUUUUAUUUUUAUCCUUAUUAUGCCUUAAAGAAACAUUAUUGUGUUUGUGUGUAUGUGUGUGUAGUCCUAAAAAUAUUUUGCUUAGUUCAAAAUGUAUGGAUCUUCUUGGAUUUGCUCUUCCACUCUUCAUUUUCAUAAUAGGAUUCAUUCAUGUGUUACAUGUUGCUUGGUUCAUUAAUUUCCAUUGAUAUUUAAUGUGUCUGUGAUUAUGCCACAGUUUAUUGAAACUCUUGUUAAUGGGUAUUUGGACAGCUUCCAGACUUGUGCUAUCAUGCACACUGCUGCUUUCUGGUACACAUUUGCUAAACUUCUCUUGGGUAAAUACCUAGAAGUGGAAUUGCUGGCUCACUGGGUGUGCAAAUAUUCAACUGUAUAAGAUAAUACCAAAUUGUUUUCCCAAGUGAUUAUUCUAAUUUACAUCCUGUCAACAAUGUGUGAGAGUUCAUCAAUCUACAGUCUCUGGAAUACUUGGUAUUGUCAGCUUUUCAGUUCUUGCCUAUUGAAUGCAUGUAAAAUAAUAUUUCCUACUCUUGUUUCACAUUUCCCUGAGUACGAGUUAGAUUGAGCAACACUUCAUAUGCUUUUUAUUAAUACAUAUUUUAUCUUCUGUGAAAUGCCUAUUCAGGUCUUCUGCCCAGUGUUCAUUUAUUAUUGGCUUGUAGGACUUCUUUACGUAUAAACAGUAUCACAAUUUUAAUCUUUUCUAUUAAGUGUUUUUGCGGUAGUUUAAGAAAUUAUUCUUCACCUUAAAUUCAGAAAGAUAUUCAUCUAUAUUUUAUCUUAUAAUAUUAAACUUUUAAAUUCAACAGCACAUCACCAUCUCUACACAUCAUGUAGGAGUUUCUAACUAGUUCCAUAAAUGAAGAAAUGAAUUAAAAGUUAUAAGGCUAGGAAAGGAAAAAAAACCUGUAAUUUUCAGACGACAUGAUUGUCUGCUUGAAAUCCUCCCCAAUUGAGCAAACAAAUAAAUAUAAUAGGAAGUUGAGCAAAGUGGAUGAACAUAAGAUUAAUACAGAAAAGUUGAUUACACUUGUAUAAAUCAGAAACAAACAGAAUAAUAACUAUGAACACACAAUUUACAACUAAAAGUAUAAAGUACAAUACUUAGGAAUAAAGCUAAUAAAAGAUGUAUAAACUUGGAUGUAGAAAACUAUAAAACAUUUCUGAAGAAUAUUUUUAAAAUACUAAUAAAUGGAGAUGUAUCCCUUGAUCAACAGGAAGAUAUCAUUAAGACCUUAAUCUUUCUUAUACAGAUCUACAGAUUUAAUGUAACUCUAGUCAAAAUCCAAAAAGGAUUCUUUAACUAAAAAAGGUCCAAAAUAGCCAAAAUACUUCUUUAUUAAAUGAAAACAUGUAGAUGGAGUUGCUCUUAUAAAUACAAAGACAUAUAGAGCUAUACUAACUGGCAUGUGUUAUUCACACAGAAAAGAGAAAUUCAUGCAUGAAAUAGGAUACAGAACUCAAUAAAGGACUCAUAUAUAUAACUUUGAUGGGGUGGCAUGAAAGAACACUUAGGAAAGGAGUAAUUAUUCAAUAGUUACAGCUGAAAAAGUUGGUUGUCUACAUAGAAAAAGCAUGAAAAUUGAUCUUUACCUCAUACACAAAACAACCUUCCACAAAUU